rnacentral:rRNA from 1 species
UACAGAGGGUGCAAGCGUUAAUCGGAAUUACUGGGCGUAAAGCGUGCGCAGGCGGUUCUAUAAGACAGAUGUGGAAUCCCCGGGCUCAACCUGGGAACUGCAUUUGUGACUGUAGAGCUGGAGUACGGUAGAGGGGGAUGGAAUUCCGCGUGUAGCAGUGAAAUGCGUAGAUAUGCGGAGGAACACCGAUGGCGAAGGCAAUCCCCUGGACCUGUACUGACGCUCAUGCACGAAAGCGUGGGGAGCAAACAGG